GAUGAACGCUGGCGGCGUGCUUAACACAUGCAAGUCGAACGAGAAGUGAAGACGGAAACCUUCGGGCGGAAGGCUUUAUUUCGAGUGGCGGACGGGUGAGCAACGCGUGGGUAACCUGCCUCAUACAGGGGGAUAACAGUUGGAAACGACUGUUAAUACCGCAUAAGACCACAGCACCGCAUGGUGCGGGGGUAAAAACUCCGGUGGUAUGAGAUGGACCCGCGUUCGAUUAGCCAGUUGGCGGGGUAACGGCCCACCAAAGCGACGAUCGAUAGCCGAUCUGAGAGGAUGACCGGCCACAUUGGGACUGAGACACGGCCCAAACUCCUACGGGAGGCAGCAGUGGGGAAUAUUGCACAAUGGGGGAAACCCUGAUGCAGCGACGCCGCGUGAGUGAAGAAGUAUUUCGGUAUGUAAAGCUCUAUCAGCAGGGAAGAAAAUGACGGUACCUGAGGAAGAAGCCCCGGCUAACUACGUG
rnacentral:rRNA from 1 species